rnacentral:tRNA from 1 species
CCAUUGAAAAAUAGCCAUUUUUCUUCGCACUACGAAUGCGAAGGUUGAGGGUUCGAGUCCCCCAUGGCGCACCA